AUGAACGCUGGCGGCGUGCCUCAUACAUGCAAGUCGCGCGAACGGACGAGAAGCUUGCUUCUCUGAUGUUAGCGGCGGACGGGUGAGUAACACGUGGAUAACCUACCUAUAAGACUGGGAUAACUUCGGGAAACCGUAGCUAAUACCGGAUAAUAUUUUGAACCGCAUGGUUCAAAAGUGAAAGACGGUCUUGCUGUCACUUAUAGAUGGAUCCGCGCUGCAUUAGCUAGUUGGUAAGGUAACGGCUUACCAAGGCAACGAUGCAUAGCCGACCUGAGAGGGUGGUCGGCCACACUGGAACUGAGACACGGUCCAGACUCCUACGGGAGGCAGCAGUAGGGAAUCUUCCGCAAUGGGCGAAAGCCUGACGGAGCAACGCCGCGUGAGUGAUGAAGGUCUUCGGAUCGUAAAACUCUGUUAUUAGGGAAGAACAUAUGUGUAAGUAACUGUGCACAUCUUGACGGUACCUAAUCAGAAAGCCACGGCUAACUACGUG
rnacentral:rRNA from 1 species